CGGGGUGUGGCGCAGUUUGGUAGCGCACCUGCUUUGGGAGCAGGGGGCCGCAGGUUCAAAUCCUGUCACCCCGAC
rnacentral:tRNA from 2 species